rnacentral:rRNA from 1 species
UACGGAGGGUGCAAGCGUUGCUCGGAAUUAUUGGGCGUAAAGGGUAGGUAGGUGGUCUCGUUUGUCUGAGGUGAAAGCCUUGAGCUUAACUCAAGAAGUGCCUUAGAAACGGCGAGACUAGAGGUCUGGAGAGGGUCGUGGAAUUCCCGGUGUAGCGGUGAAAUGCGUAGAGAUCGGGAGGAACACCAGAGGCGAAAGCGGCGACCUGGACAGAUACUGACACUCAACUACGAAAGCGUGGGGAGCAAACAGG